rnacentral:rRNA from 1 species
AUGUUGCGGAUAUUUUCUGAAUCCAUGGCGCAUAAGCAUCCGAUAUCUGUAAUCACUGACGGGGACCUUGCAAUGCAGAGAGCGAUCAGGGUGGUGUGGCCUGACUCAUACCACAGGCUGUGUGUAUGGCACAUUCAACAGAACAUCGUACGCCAUCUGCAUGAUGACGAGGUUAGGGAAGAAUUUAGAUCUUUCAUAUAUGACUCGUCUUGUAUUGAAGAGCAUGAGAGAAAAUGGAUAGAGUUCUUACAAAGGAAUGAUGUGACAAGUGAGGAGUCGUGGUUGCAUCAGAUGUAUCAGAUGAGGAAGUUGUGGUGUGCUCCAUACCUGGUGGGGCACUGUUUCUUAGGAUUGAGCAGCAAUCAGCGGAGUGAGAGCCUAAACUCCGUGCUACAUACACAUCUUGAGGGUAAGAUGACAUUCUUUGAUAUGCUAGAGCACUAUGAGCGUUGCCUUUCGGGACGACGCUUGAAUGAGGCGAUCCUAGACAUCGUGACCUUGUAG